GAUGAACGCUGGCGGCGUGCCUAAUACAUGCAAGUCGAGCGAACAGACGAGGAGCUUGCUCCUCUGACGUUAGCGGCGGACGGGUGAGUAACACGUGGAUAACCUACCUAUAAGACUGGGAUAACUUCGGGAAACCGGAGCUAAUACCGGAGAAUAUAUUGAACCGCAUGGUUCAAUAGUGAAAGACGGUUUUGCUGGCACUUAUAGAUGGAUCCGCGCCGCAUUAGCGAGUUGGUAAGGGAACGGCUUACCAAGGCAACGAUGCGUAGCCGACCUGAGAGGGUGAUCGGCCACACUGGAACUGAGACACGGUCCAGACUCCUACGGGAGGCAGCAGUCGGGAAUCUUCCGCAAUGGGCGAAAGCUUGACGGAGCAACGCCGCGUGAGUGAUGAAGGUCUUCGGAUCGUAAAACUCUGUUAUUAGGGAAGAACAAAUGUGUAAGUAACUAUGCACGUCUUGACGGUACCUAAUCAGAAAGCCACGGCUAACUACGUG
rnacentral:rRNA from 1 species